GAGAGGAUUUUCGGGGAUUUUCCUUGAUUUUUCUUUUGAUUUUUUUUCUUUCUAUAUUUUUGGCUAUAAAAAGCCAAUACAAACAAUGUUUUUUUUUUACACAUUCAAUAUACAAAAAAACGAGAAUACAAAAAUCAAAAACAGAGAAAGGUGAUUUUUUUUUCUGGGUUUUUAUUCCUUUCUAUUUCGCUUGUUGCUAGAUUUUUUUUCUUU
rnacentral:lncRNA from 1 species